rnacentral:rRNA from 1 species
UACGAAGGGGGCUAGCGUUGCUCGGAAUCACUGGGCGUAAAGCGCACGUAGGCGGCUUUUAAGUCAGGGGUGAAAUCCUGGAGCUCAACUCCAGAACUGCCUUUGAUACUGAGAAGCUUGAGUCCGGAGAGGUGAGUGGAACUGCGAGUGUAGAGGUGAAAUUCGUAGAUAUUCGCAAGAACACCAGUGGCGAAGGCGGCUCACUGGCCCGGUACUGACGCUGAGGUGCGAAAGCGUGGGAGCAACAGGG